CUAACAUCAGAUGAUAUAUAAUCACGACAUCGUGGAAAAUAUACAAAUUCUUCGGAGCCUUGGGAUGAGCCUGCGUCUGAUUAGGUAGUUGGCGGAGUAAUAGCCCACCAAGCCUACGAUCAGUAGCUGGUCUGAGAGGAUGAUCAGCCACACUGGAACUGAGACACGGUCCAGACUCCUACGGGGAGGCAGCAGUAAGGAAUAUUGCUCAAUGGGGGAAACCCUGAAGCAGCAACGCCGCGUGAAGGAUGAAAUACUUUUGUAUGUAAACUUCUGUAAGAUGGGAAAAAUAUUCUCCUCGGGAGAAUUGAUUGUACCAUCAGAGUAAGCCCCGGCUGACUACGUG
rnacentral:rRNA from 1 species